CUGACUGGAGGUUCUUUUGCUUUCAAGAUUCUUGGACWGGGGAGAGGCUGACGAGAAAUUACUUUGAGGAGAGGGCGAUAGACCCAUCCCAGCCGGGACAAGCCUGCAGUUUUUCCAGCUCCCCUUGGUCCCRCAGGAUCUUGGAGCGUGGGCGGGAGCUGCUGCUCCAAAACCUGCGGUUCCAGCAGUGACCAGCGGCCUCCUCUUGGCCACCAUUUUUCCUGGAUACUGAGCCAAGCACUUCUGAGUCCGCAGCUCAUGAGCUCAGAAGGAUGGAAAAAGCAGCCAGAAGCAGCCUGUCACAACAAGAAUAAUUGCUCAAAGUCAAGUCUGCUGCCAGAAGGCCAUCCCAAGAAGAAUGGCUUUCGAGAGCAGGUAGAGGGCCAGACAAGUAGGCCAUGCUGACCCUAUAGCCUCUUAUAGGCUGAGCAUACCCAGUGCUAGAGUAAGUGCUCAUUUUAUUGGCAGUCACAUUUAGGACUUAUUCCUAAAGCAUAUUUUUAAGUCUUCCCUCCAAUUCGUAUUUAAAAGUCUUUCAAGACAGUUUAAAAAAUAUAUAUAUUUCUCCCUUGAGAAGUUUUGUUAUUUCCACAUUUGUUUUCAUCAGAAAAUCAAGCUAAAUUGAAAUACCAGAACCUCUUGUGAUUAUCUUUGCAUGCAUGCUAAGAUAUCUAAACUAAUCGCCUUCCCCCAAAAUUUUAGUUUUCUUUUCCUAAUAGAAAGGUGGCUGCUUCGCAAAUUUUAUUGAAAAUACAAUAUUACUAAGUCUAUAUUUACUGUGAAAUCAUUGUUUUGAUGGAAAACUCCUGUGCAUUGCUUGCUUCUGUCACAUACAUCAAUCCUGACCUGAGGAAAUCAUUAUUUAUAUAUGAUCAGAUCACCUUACUGUUCUGGWUAUAAGUCUGUAUACGUGUCUGCUUAGUGUGUUAUGUGCUGAUUCAAGGAUACUGAAGUGGGCUGCAGAUGUAUUUGAAAAUGAGAUAGAUGUCAAUAAGAGACCAUGCAGGAAGGCAAAUUAAGUAACAAAACCAAGUUAAAAAUGACUUAAGUCCCAGUGUCGAACAGAUGUGGUAAUACAAAACAAAUUGGUCUCUGUAUUUCUUUACUUCAUUACUGCAAAUGACUGUCAGGUUAGGGCUUUGUUUGACAAUUUGCCAGUUAUCCUGACCUUAUUUUCAUAGCUUUAUAAAAGUAAAAAAGCUGGUACUUAUCCCUUGCUAGAAGCUAUSUAAUACUAAUUUAAGACUUGUAAACUAACAGUAGUUCCACCAAGUAAAUAGCUGCUUGAUGUUAAACAGCUGUGAAGUGUGUGAAGGUGCUUUGCAACCUAGGAUAGUGGCCUGUUUUUUAAUACUCUUUUAAUAAUGAAAGCAUUUUCAAGUCAUUAUUAUGACAAGAAGUCAUGAGCUUUAUGUAAAAGUUGAUGAUCAUUGUUCUUAACUUAAAAAUGACAAUAUACACAUACAUGCACACACACCAAACAUGUGAACUACUCUAGGUUGGGAGAGUGCCUAUGUUUCCUAGAUAAAAAAUGGCAGUUUUCAGCAAAUUAUUUAAAAAUUUCUUCUAAAUGAAUGAGCUGGGUGUGAUAAUCCAAAUGGGAAAUGCUACUUGGUAGUGAGAAUAAAGUGGUCGGUAUGGUGAGGGGUAGACCAAGCUGCCUCACAGUGACUAAGCAUAGAUAAUGGGAGCUUAUAAACAUGGAAAUAGAAAUUUGUGAUGGGCCUCAUGGCUUACACGUGAACAGAGGAGCACAGGAGUGAUUCUCUUCCCUUAUUCAAUAAAACAUGUGCAUUUGCCUGUUGGAGGCCAGGCACCUGUGUUUGCUGACUCGUCUGCCCCACUGCUCUAUAUAGGUCAGGUUACCUAAACAGUGCCUGACUGCAGGACUGUCAGAUUUCUUGUGACCAGAGAACAUAUUUAGCCAAAUUUCAUAAAACAGCCUUUAUUGCCAAACAUGUCACUUUGGUAUUCUGUGCACUGUCUUCUCUGACUCCCAGGAACAAUAUUCUUUGAAAUCAGUGGCUUUUAAAAAAUAUUUACCUUAUAUUUGAAGACAUGAUUCAUAGGCUGGAAGAUGAAGAUCUAAGGUAGUUGCCAGAAAGAGAAGGGAAUGAAAGAGGUUUAUCCAUCAUUGUCAAUGAUACGCUAUUAGCAGUGUCCCUGGUGGAUUGUGAGAGUCUGUUUGGGAUGGAGAAGUUGAGUGAAGCUGCAAAUUAUUCACAGUGUUGCUAAAAGCAUGACCAAGAAAGCCAAUCUGACAGCCAAGCUUCUGUCUCCAGGCAUUUUUUUCUGAACAGAUGAUGGCCUGAGCAGCCAGCUGGACUAAUCUAGAUCCAGAUUUUCAAAAUUCAGGAGUUGUGAAUGUGAAGAUUAGUUAUGGCAUAUUAUUGCAAUAGGUUUAUUGGUAAGAUGACACUGGAGGUGGAUCAGGGACUGCCUCCACCUUUUCAAAAAAGAAUUGUUGGAAAAAAUCACAUGGGAAUAAUGACAGUGACUUCUUCAUCACCACGGGUGCCAGAGACUGCCUCACAUUUUGGUGAGGGAAGGCUCUCUGCCAGUGGCAGCAGUCUGGUAAAAU